UUCGAUGCAACGCGAAGAACCUUACCUGGUCUUGACAUCCACAGAACAUUCCAGAGAUGGAUUGGUGCCUUCGGGAACUGUGAGACAGGUGCUGCAUGGCUGUCGUCAGCUCGUGUUGUGAAAUGUUGGGUUAAGUCCCGCAACGAGCGCAACCCUUAUCCUUUGUUGCCAGCGGUCCGGCCGGGAACUCAAAGGAGACUGCCAGUGAUAAACUGGAGGAAGGUGGGGAUGACGUCAAGUCAUCAUGGCCCUUACGACCAGGGCUACACACGUGCUACAAUGGCGCAUACAAAGAGAAGCGACCUCGCGAGAGCAAGCGGACCUCAUAAAGUGCGUCGUAGUCCGGAUUGGAGUCUGCAACUCGACUCCAUGAAGUCGGAAUCGCUAGUAAUCGUGGAUCAGAAUGCCACGGUGAAUACGUUCCCGGGCCUUGUACACACCGCCCGUCACACCAUGGGAGUGGGUUGCAAAAGAAGUAGGUAGCUUAACCUUCGGGAGGGCGCUUACCACUUUGUGAUUCAUGACUGGGGUGAAGUCGUAACAAGGUAACCGUAGGGGAACCUGCGGUUGGAUCACCUCCUUACCUUAAAGAAGC
rnacentral:rRNA from 1 species